UACGUAGGGUCCGAGCGUUGUCCGGAAUUAUUGGGCGUAAAGGGCGCGUAGGCGGUUUGUCGCGUCGGGAGUGAAAACACCGGGCUUAACUCGGUGCUUGCUUCCGAUACGGGCAGACUAGAGGUAUGCAGGGGAGAAUGGAAUUCCUGGUGUAGCGGUGAAAUGCGCAGAUAUCAGGAGGAACACCGGUGGCGAAGGCGGUUCUCUGGGCAUUAACUGACGCUGAGGAGCGAAAGUGUGGGGAGCGAACAGG
rnacentral:rRNA from 1 species